rnacentral:lncRNA from 1 species
GCCAAAAACUGACGAGACACCAAUUGAUUCGUGUUGCACUGAGGAAGAAGUUGUGCACACGUUUAAAUCCUACUAACACAAGAAACAAGAAGGUGUUAGAUAACGUAAAGGAAGAAUAAAGGGAAACAAAUGAAAACCUACAGCUAAGAAUCAAUAAAAAUUGUUGAAAACAGAAAACCCGAAAAACUGCGGAGUAACUUGACAACUUCGUUCGAGGUGUUCCCGAUCUCCAAAAAUCACGAAAU